GCUCCUUCUGUAUCUCCAUUAUCGGUC
rnacentral:piRNA from 1 species